CCCCUGCUGCGGAUGUCAGGGCAGCACCUAGAAGAAGGGCUGUGCAGGGCCCCCCCUGCAUCUCCCCCCAUGAGCAGUUCAGCUGCACGCAGUACACAAGAGAUUCUGGAGGGAGAAGUGUGUGUGAAAGCUAUGUGAAAGCAUUCUCCCAUGACCAUGAAGCCUUCCUUCAUCAUACUCACGUCAAUGUCCCGAGCUUUUGUGUCUGGUAUAACAUCAGAUUCCAAGUGUCAGUGGAAAUGAAACCAGUUGCUUGAUUCCUUUUGGUUGUGGCCUGGUCAACGUGUUCAUGUGAAUCUCCUUUGUGGGUACUUUAACCUAGCUGUUAACCAGUUUAAGAUACACAGGUUAAUGACUGUUAAACUAAUGCACAAAAGGGUGAGCACGUUAACCAAUGUGCUAGUUGGAGGACUGAGACUCUUAUGACCUGAUUGUUCAUUAUAAGCCGGUAGAGGGCACACUGUGUGUGAAAUAGUAUUCUGGUUGCAGGGUACGGUGCAUGUUAGGUUACAGGAGCGAGUGGCUGAGGUUUCUCCUGAUCUAAAGGCCAAAUAGCACAUUAUCCUCACAGUUAUAUCAGUUUCUACUGUAAGUGAAUAAAAAGCAACAGAGAAUUUAUUUCAACUCUU